AAAUAAGAGAUUUAGUUGCAUAAUACGCCCAUAUAACGCACUCCUUUAGCCCUAUUCUGGCACGUCCUAAACUCCCAUCUAAUUUCCUAUGAUCAUAGCUUACAUUUAGGACAUCCCAUAACGGAUAAGCAUUUUGUAACCUGAUCACCAUUGUUACAUAGGUAAAUUACAGAGGUAAAUAGCAGCUUGUUUUGUACAGACUGGUCUGUUGUCUCUGUGUGUGUGCACUUCUGUAUGUUUAUACCAUAAGUAUCACCAAUACUAGUUGAAAACCAUUUGUGAUUUUUUUUCCCCUCCGCGGCAUUAUUUUAUUUAUUAAAGCUUUUAUAAUGUUAACGGAUUCACAUUGUCCAAAUCUGUCUUUUAGAAGACUCCCAGUGGGAGCUGAAUUUGAAAUUGGAGAUCGAGAAAUUCACAAGAAAGCAGAGGGACACUAGGUAGCAGGCAAUGGGUAUUUUAAUAAAAGUGCUGAUGGGAAACACGUCUAAUAAAUUGAUCGAAGGAUA